AGACAGCAGGACGGUGGCCAUGGAAGUCGGAAGCCGCUAGGAGUGUGUAACAACUCACCUGCCGAAGCAACUAGCCCUGAAAAUGGAUGGCGCUAAAGCUCCGUGCCUAUACCCGGCCGCCGGAAGGCAUUGGCGCGAGGUGCUCCCUCAGGGGGGCUCCGAGCGCGCGAAGCCCCGGCGAGUAGGAGGGCGCGGCGGUGUGCGCGGAAGGGUCUGGGCGCGAGCCUGCCUGGAGCCGCCGCCGGUGCAGAUCUUGGUGGUAGUAGCAAAUACUCAAGCGAGGGCCUUGAGGGCUGAUGUGGAGAAGGGUUUCGUGUGAACAGCCGUUGCACACGAGUCAGUCGAUCCUAAGCCCUAGGAGAAAUCCGAUGUCGAUGCGGGGGGCUCUCAAACAGUUUCCCCCCUCGAUGGGCGAAAGGGAAUCCGGUUCCUAUUCCGGAACCCGGCAGCGGAACCGAAUCUACGGGCCCUCAUCUGAGAAGCUCGUCGGGGUAACCCAAAGGGACCCGGAGACGCCGUCGGGAGACCCGGGCAGAGUUUUCUGUUCUGCAUAAGCGUUCGAGUUCCCUGGAAUCCUCUAGCAGGGAGAUAGGGUUUGGAACGCGAAGAGCACCGCAGUUGCGGCGGUGUCCGGGUCGUCCCCUCGGACCUUGAAAAUCCGGGAGAGGGUCACGCGGAGGUGUCGCGCCGGCUCGUACCCAUAUCCGCAGCAGGUCUCCAAGGUGAAGAGCCU
rnacentral:rRNA from 1 species